AUCCAGCUGACGAGUUCAAAAACAGGACGAAACGCGCAUCCUGGAU
rnacentral:hammerhead_ribozyme from 1 species